CACGAAGUUAGCCGGGGCUUAUUCUUCCGGUACCGUCAUUAUCGUCCCGGACAAAAGUGCUUUACAACCCUAAGGCCUUCAUCACACACGCGGCAUGGCUGGAUCAGGCUUGCGCCCAUUGUCCAAUAUUCCCCACUGCUGCCUCCCGUAGGAGUCUGGGCCGUGUCUCAGUCCCAGUGUGGCUGAUCAUCCUCUCAGACCAGCUACUGAUCGUCGCCUUGGUAGGCCCGUUACCCCACCAACUAGCUAAUCAGACGCGGGCCGAUCCUUCGGCAGUAAACCUUUCCCAAAAGGGCGUAUCCGGUAUUAGCUCAAGUUUCCCUGAGUUAUUCCGAACCGAAGGGUACGUUCCCACGUGUUACUCACCCGUCUGCCACUGACACCGAAGUGCCCGUUCGACUUGCAUGUGUUAAGCCUGCCGCCAGCGUUCGCUCUGAGCCAGGAUCAAACUCU
rnacentral:rRNA from 1 species